rnacentral:rRNA from 1 species
AAACUAACAAGGAUUCCCCUAGUAGCGGCGAGCGAAGCGGGAAGAGCUCAAAUUUAUAAUCUGGCGCUUUCAGCGUCCGAGUUGUAAUCUCUAGAAGUGUUUUCCGCGUUGGACCGCACAUAAGUCUGUUGGAAUACAGCGGCACAGUGGUGAGACCCCCGUAUACGGUGCGGAUGCCCAAUGCUUUGUGAUACACUCUCGAAGAGUCGAGUUGUUUGGGAAUGCAGCUCAAAUUGGGUGGUAAAUUCCAUCUAAAGCUAAAUAUUGGCGAGAGACCGAUAGCGAACAAGUACCGUGAGGGAAAGAUGAAAAGCACUUUGGAAAGAGAGUUAACAGUACGUGAAAUUGUUGGAAGGGAAACGCUUGAAGUCAGACUUGCUUUUCGGGGUUUACUCCGGUUGGCAGGCCAGCAUCAGUUUUCCGGGGCGGAAAAUCACGGUUAGAAGGUAGCAGUUUCGGCUGUGUUAUAGCUUUCCGUUGGAUACGUCCUGGGGGACUGAGGAACGCAGUGUGCUUUUAGCGAGGGCUUCGGCCCUUUCACACUUAGGAUGCUGGUGGAAUGGCUUUAAACGACCCGUC